rnacentral:miRNA from 1 species
CCAAUUAAGUUUGUUAUUGGUAUGAGCUUUUGUGUGCAUGCACACUUCUUCAAAUAGCUUCACACUUCUUCAUAUAACUUCUUCAGGUGUAUCUGAAGAAGUGUGCAUGCACACGAAAGCUCAUGCCAAUAACAAACUUAGUUGG